GACAGGAGCACUGCUCUGGACGUAGCUGUAACCUCUAGACGAAGAUUAUUUUGCAGGGAGCUGUUUUCCAAACUUUCUGUUUCAUGGGAUCAAGUUCCUCCGUGGACCUCUCAUACUGUUGGCUGUCUUUGUAGUGCUGAAGUGCGAAGAUACAAUGCUGUGGAUCUACUUCAACAAGGGGCCCUAAUGAGACAGACCAGAACGUCUCUGCAGCUAUAGCAACUUGCUGUUUACAGCUGCCUUGGUAAAGAUCAUGUUCACGCUGAGGAUGUUUGCACAGUGCAGGUGGGAUCAUAUUGUGUCUGCAUUUGUAGAUGCUGUGGACUGUAACCUGAUAGAAUCACAUCUGCCUUUGUAAAGCUUGAACUGAUAACUCACAAUCUACCAUCACCCAUCAACCAAUGAGUUGUUGGUCGUUAAAGGCUGGCUUGGCUGAUCAUUUCACACAGCAACAACUGACUUUAGGUAGUGGUGCUUUCUGAGGAAAAACCUGCAUUUAUUCAUUUGUUGAGCUCUCAGAGCUGCAGCUUCUCUGUUUCUUAUUCUUCUACAUCUGGCUUUUUAUCUCAGCCUGAAGACCACUCAAGCCAUGCAACCUUUGGGCCUCAGUACUUUUUUCUGCAAGCAAGAGUAAAAUUUUCCUGCCAAAAUCUGAGCAGUUUCAGUCAUUUAAUUUAGAAGAUUUCAGUAUUUUGUUCUUGUUUUGUCAGAGCCUGCCAGGUCACCAUCAAUUAAAUCCAAUGAAAGCCUGCAUAAUGGAAUGUCAUAAUGUGAGUGAUGAUUUAAUCAUCAGUAUUUGUAAAGUUAGAUACUUUGGAAUUGAAAAGUUUUUAAAUGCAGUAUAAACUGACUGAAAUGGAUUUAAACCCCAGUGUGUCCACCUUAAAAGCUCUUUGCUGUGUUGUUUGUCUUUCAAAGAAGGCACUAAACUGAAGUGACCAUUUAGAGCUGUAUGUAAUUUAAUGUAAUAGGCCAAAAAUGUUUUUUUGUAUGAGUUCAAACAGGAGAUAAAUGAAAGCACAAACAAAUGUUUUCAUGAUGCAUUCACUGUAAGUACAAAAUUUCACAUUAAUGACCGACACAUCAUCACAUAGAAAAAAACUGUAUUUUGUAACUACAAACAACUGGAAAUGCAGAUAAUCUUGUGCAUCUGAAACAUUUAAUAAACUGUGUGUGUAAAUCAUCUGAUUAGACCAUUCAGAUGCAAUCAAUUCAUCUGGAAAGCCUUUUUUCUCUUGUCUGACAUGCACACGCACACACACACGCACACACACGCA